rnacentral:misc_RNA from 1 species
UUAAGUUCAGCGGGUAGCCCUACCUGAUCCGAGGUCAACCUGAGAAGAUGGGGUUGCUGGCAGGCAACCGCCUGGGUCUCCAGAAGCGAGAUGUGUUACUACGCUUGAAGCCAGAUGGCACCGCCACUGAUUUUAAGGGCUGCCAGUUGACAGGCCCCAACACCAAGCUGAGCUUGAGGGGUUAUAAUGACGCUCGAACA